rnacentral:misc_RNA from 1 species
UUUCCGUAGGUGAACCUGCGGAAGGAUCAUUAAUGAAUUUGAAAGUAGUUGUUUCUGGCUUGUAAACCCAAGCAUGUGCACACACCAAUCAUAUCCAUUUUACACCUCUGCACCCUUGCGUGGGUCCGUCGGCUUUGCGGUCGCUCGUUCUCGCGUUUUUUCUAUAAACCCUUUUGUAUGUUACAGACUGUCUUAAUGUUACAAACGCUUCUCUCUCAACUUUCGACUAUGGAUUAUUUGGCUCUUUCAACGAUGAAGAACGCAGCAGACCGAACGAUG